rnacentral:lncRNA from 1 species
CAGAAUUGGUAGCUGCUGAGAACAGGCUGUUGGAUNAGAUGAUCAAGCAGGACAUUUCUCAUGAUCUUAGGUGCAUUUAUGGGGGGAAAAUGCUGCAGAUUAAAGAUUGUUGUUGUUGUUUUAAAGGGCAGGGAAGAGACGUGCUGUCCAGGGAGUCAUGAGCAGCUAAAAUCAUAAACCUCAUGUCCUGGGAAAUUUCACAAAAACAAUGACAGUUUCUUGACCCUAUAAGGUUACUUACUCUUGCUUUCAAACUAUCCGNGUGUGUGCUGAGAAUGUUAUGGAAAUACAUAUUCUGUACAGGUGUGUUGCUGUUUUUGAUCUCUGAAGUGGUAGACAGNGUAUUUCAGGCUUGCACAUUGAAGUGUUUUGAGCUACUUAAUUUUAAUUUUUGGGUUUGCCUUCAGAAUGAGGAGAGCAAGAACAACUUGGGGGCUGCUGCAGUAAACAGAGAUGAGGACGGUGAAUAUAGGCUCAAAUCACACAAAGAACAAGAACUAGAUAGAGACAGGAAGAUACGGCACAAAGAAAAGAAAGAGCAUGGACUCUCAGCUUCAGAAGGAAAAGAGAAGUAUACAAGACUAAAAAAUCCUGCAUCUUUCAAGGAUUCAGAAGAGCAUGCAACCAGGAGGCAUAAAGACCGUCCUUACUAUGAUGCCGAAGAAAGGCAUGCAUCAAAGAAGCACAGAGACCGGACUGGCUACGAUGCAGAAGAAGAGCAUAAAGCUUACUAUGAAGAUAAACAUCACAGGGAAAGCAGUGAAAGAAGGCACAAAGAAGAAAGUGAAAAAAAGAAGACAGAUAUUAAGCAUAGUGAAUACAAAAGCAAUGGAAAAAGUUCAAAGCAGGAAGAUGAAAUAGACCAUCCACCAGAAAGGUGAAUUAUUUUUAAGUACUUGGGAUGAUUUAGCUACACUCAAUGGUUACUUACUUACCCCUGAAUAAAUGCACAUGUUUUUACCUGCA